rnacentral:rRNA from 1 species
AUUGAACGCUGGCGGCAGGCCUAAUACAUGCAAGUCGAGCGAGCGGCGGACGGGUGAGUAAUGUCUGGGAAACUGCCCGAUGGAGGGGGAUAACUACUGGAAACGGUGGCUAAUACCCCAUACUAUCGGAUCUGCCCAGAUGGGAUUAGCUAGUAGGUGGGGUAACGGCUCACCUAGGCGACGAUCCCUAGCUGGCCUGAGAGGAUGACCAGCCACACUGGGACUGAGACACGGUCCAGACUCCUACGGGAGGCAGCAGUGGGGAAUAUUGCACAAUGGGCGCAAGCCUGAUGCAGCCACGCCGCGUGUGUGAAGAAGGCCUUCGGGUUGUAAAGCACUUUCAGCGGGGAGGCGGUACCCGACGAAGAAGCAACGGCUAACUCCGUGCCAGCAGCCGCGGUAAUUC